CCUACGGGUGACAGCAGUGAGGAAUAUUGGUCAAUGGGCGCGAGCCUGAACCAGCCAAGUCGCGUGAGGGAAGACGGUCCUAUGGAUUGUAAACCUCUUUUGUCGGGGAGCAAAAGACGCCACGCGUGGCGUUCCGAGAGUACCCGAAGAAAAAGCAUCGGCUAACUCCGUGCCAGCAGCCGCGGGAAUACGGAGGAUGCGAGCGUUAUCCGGAUUUAUUGGGUUUAAAGGGUGCGCAGGCGGAAGAUCAAGUCAGCGGUAAAAUUGAGAGGCUCAACCUCUUCGAGCCGUUGAAACUGGUUGUCUUGAGUGAGUGAGAGGUAUGCGGAAUGCGUGGUGUAGCGGUGAAAUGCAUAGAUAUCACGCAGAACUCCGAUUGCGAAGGCAGCAUACCGGCGCGCAACUGACGCUCAUGCACGAAAGUGUGGGUAUCGAACAGGAUUAGAUACCCGUGUAGUC
rnacentral:rRNA from 1 species